GGUGAACGUAGCUCAGUAUGGCAGAGCGCUGGGUUGUGGCCCCAGUGGUCGCGGGUUCAAAUCCCGCCGUUCACCCCAG
rnacentral:tRNA from 1 species